GGCUAUAAAUGAAAUUUGGUCAAUUAAAAAUUGAUGCAAUUUUAGCCAUUUACUCGGCCUUAACAACACGAGGAAUAGCAGUGCAAGCAGCAUGAUGAAUGUAAAUGAGAAAUUCAAAGGAAUUACGCAAACUGACCACAGUCGACCCAAUCCACCUUAAGGCGAUACCAUGUUAUAAUCCCGCCUGGGCAGACGAGACGAAACGGGUCGGGUCGGGUUGGUCAACGGACAAAAAGCUGAGAGAAAGCCACCUGGCAGUAAAUUUCCGUGCUCAGCUAGAACAACAAUGGCUGAAGCCUCUUCCAACAAUGGCGGAACCGAUCAGAUUUUGGUGGAGACAUCAUCAAAUGUUAGAACGUUCAUAUUAAAGCUCAAUGCACUUUCUUAUGAAAUGGUAUUCCAAAUAUGAUGUCACUAUUAUUUUGUUGGCCUACUUUUAUUUUCUUUGUACUGUUUCCUUUACCGUACUGUCCUCAAAUAUAUUAUAUCGUCUAUAGUUUGUGUUUCA